rnacentral:rRNA from 1 species
AGAUACCCUGUUACACUAGAAGGUAAAUAAACAUGUCGACUGGAGUAGUUAUAAUAAAUUUGUUUAAAAUUCAAAGAACCUGGCGGUACUUUAGUCUAGUUAGAGGAACCUGUUGUAUAAACGAUAAACCACGUAAGAUCUUUCUCACUCUCGUAAAGCCAGUAUACCUUCAUUGUUAGAUAAUCUUUUCUUACAUGGAUUAUUGGAAUUGGGUUACCAAGUAUAUUAGAUCAAGGUGCUGCUGAUGAGUGAGUACAAAUGGGUUACAGUAUUUUUUGGAGAGGCGGAUAAUAUCAAGAAUUUGAUAUUUGAAGAUGGAUUUAAUUGUAAGUUUUGGUUUUAGUAAGGCAAAAUGAUAGUAGCUCUAAAGUGUGUACAUA